GCACGAAAAUCAUAAAUCCUCUUGAAUGGUACUUUACACUAAUAAUCUCUCGAUAGAGUAUUAGAACAUGUCUUACUUAUGUUAGAUAUUAACAUAUGUAUCUAUUUUCGUUACGGCUGUUUUUAAAGAUUGCAAUACCUGAAAAGAUCAGUCCUUGCAAACCUUUAAUAUAACAUUGAUUAAAAAUUUCUGUCCAAUGUAGCGCAUACAUUAACGAGGUAAUUCAUGGUAACGUUGACUCACAUUAUUUCAAUUUCAAGUCUCUGGAAAAAUCGUAUAACUUACGGGAUAAUCUACACUGGGCCAAGAAGCGGGGACUUCUCUGAUAAGUACGCGAAUAAUUCUAAUACGAUUCUACACGGUCCUGAAAUCAUCAUCGUGAACGUGAACGAAAAUCAGUAGCUUAAUUCAAAUCAAAUAACCUUACUAUCGUAUCGUGAAGAGUGUGUUACAAAAUACUUUUUGUCUUCAGAGAAACAACAAUAUCACACUAGUUUACAACUUGCGUGUGUGUCUGAUCUGCUUGACCGAAUUCUACACAGAGCUGCGAAUUUUAUGCAUUUCCAUCAUAAGUAAGCGAUUGAGAAAUGAGAAGCAAGCAAUAUCACUUGACUCUUCAAUAGCGAGUAGUAAGUUGUUCAAAUUAGCGAGCUUCGUUCCGAAUACAAUUUCAUUCCCGAUGCAUGAAAUGGAUUAGUUAAUUUUGUAGGAAGUGACUAUAAACUUAGUAAAUUAGUAUUAUACUUUAUUAAUCUGACUGCAUGUUUAGACCGUAAGGAAUGUAAAAUAAUCUAUGUAUAGUACAAAUGCAUAAAACGCAGAGCAGUCGCCGUUAAUAUUGUACUAAUAACUGUCAGUAGUCAUCGCUUCACGUCAUUGAUGCUUCAGGAAUAAGAAAUUCAAUGUCGAUCAAUCGUCGCUGCCUACACACGAUCAGUACCACUGCUGUCAAUAUUUAUAAAUUAAUUAAUUAAUAUUAUUAAUACCGACAGUAUUAUUAGCCGAGCAAGAUCCGCUCAAGGAAUCUCAACGUUUUUGUCUCUUCUAGUGUAAUUCCCUGGGUCUACCAAUACUUUUCACAAUCAGCACACUCGCAGCAGACUUUAACACGUAACAUCACACUCACACUCUUUAAUGACUAUAUUUACAGAGGAUUUGGCAAGUUUCACUGAUCGAUGCCAGUCACUGUCGAACGAUCGCUAUAAUCUCGUACAGUCGAUCUUCUGUAUGCUACCGGCGAACGCAGGAUUUGCGAGACCUUGCUUCUUCCGGUGGGACUUCUUCAGCGGCUCACUCCUAAAAAUAUAACAGAACUUGAACACUCGAAACUUACAGAGCGAAUUAUAAAUAUGUAAUAUCUGUUUAUACUGGGUAUGGCCGAACAAUAUGUUAGCCGGGUAAUGUCUUGAAAAAUAAUAAAGAAUUAGAGAAUACAAGUUGUUCAUUCGAUGCUUAAUUUUGAUGAUAUUCGAAAUCGAUUUCUUCAAAACUAAACCUCAGUGUUCUACAUUUCGGUCGCACUCUGUAUAAUUCUCGGAGAAACUGAGAAUUUAUGCAAUAAUUGGAAUAAUUGUUUAUAAUUGAUCAGAUGCUCGAAGGAAGAUCGAUAAAUGUUACAUUAGUUACUAAAAAUAUAUAAUGUAAUAUUAUAAUAAAUAUUAUAAAUAUUAUAUCAUGUGUGCGAAAUUAUACACCUUUUAAAAUUAGACCUUUUAAAAUGAAUGGAAAAUUUUGUUGUCUUUUAUUGUUGGAUGGUAUAAAUCAUUAAAAUUUGUAUGAUAAAUAUUUGCUACAAUAUGGCUACUGGAAGAAAAUUACUUUAAAAUAAUCAAGAUGAUCCAGGAAAAAUAAGAAAUGUUACUUACGAGGAUAUGCAGGGGAUCCACCAAAAACUUUGAUCCCUGCCAAAAUCGUUGCCUUCUUGAAGGGUUUCCGGUAAAUCUUGGUUCAAGGUUUCUGGCAAGCCGAGUGUCAAGAAUGCAUGCAGGAAAGAUAACAAGCCGAGAGUGAUGAGGGGCAGAGCAGGAUCGACAUCAGCCUAAAAUGUCAAUCAAGUUCAUGUUUCUGUGACAUUGUUUUCAUAUUAAUGAUUAACCCUUUGCACCUAGACAUGUCUUCUCCUAUUGUUCACUUAAUAGUGACAUUAUAUUAUAUAUUAUCACUAUUAUCACCACUAUUAUCAUUCUUAAUAUUGAUUUUUAUUUUAUGAUUUCUAGCAAUUUAUUAAAUAAUGUCAAAAUUCUCUUGAAUUACGGCACAAUAAUAGCACCAUAGAGUCACUAUUUUUAGUGCAAAGGAUAAAUAUUUAUCGCGAUCGGGAUAACGUGCCUCAUCACUGUAACUUUAAAUGUAAAACAUGAUCAAAGACAUCUCGACUCUGAGGAGAUAAUUAUUGUCUCUCGAAUGCAAAUCUAUUUCUCCUUGAUUAAGAAAAAGAAGAGUAAGUAGCCGUUCCAAUCUCAAGACGAGUGUAAUUUCAUAGACAUUAGACUUAAUACAUAGCUGCUAAUGGGUAGAUUGAAGAGCUUGACAAUAUGAACAAAGAGUAACACAAGAUAAAAUCUUCGAUAAGAAUCUCGAGAAGUAUCGGAUGUGUAAUUACAUCGAACCGGUGAUAUUCUAUAGAAAAGAAUACACUCUAUAAUUAUUUCCUUAGUUACCUUCAAUGUUAUCACGUUAAUCGUGCACGUGCGGCAAAAAUUAACAUUCAACUUAUAUUUUUGUUGUUGUGAUUAUUGUAUUUUUAGCAAUACUUUGAAGAUAAUUACGUAGAACAGUACUACGUAUGUAUUCGUUAAGAUUUUAUUUUUCAUAUAUUUAACAUAUUACUGUAUACGAUAGUAUAGAAUAGUUAUCCCAGGAUGAUGAAAUCUAGUAUAAUCCAUAUAAUGAAAUCUGAUUCAGAAUUUUAAGAAACGAAAGUUUUAAAAGAAUUACAUGCUCACCAGAUAAAUGAUGUAGGGUCCCAAAAUGUGAGCCAAAUAACCAAUGAUGUGAAUCAAGGACACACCUUGCGCCCGCACCACAGUUGGUAGCAUUUCCGCCGCAUAUUGGAAGCCGAUGUUCGCGGCGAUAUUAACUCCAAGACGGGCUAUGAUCGCCAUAGUGACCGUUGGUGCACCUUGAACAAGUUGAGAAAUAUGUAAAUUCCUUGUUGCGUUCCACUCCGUCGCUGGUGCACGCGGCUACCUCAUAAUGCAACCUCGAUCCGAAUCGACUCGCUCACCAAUAUUAACCCUCUAACUUUAACUGUCAACAGCGUACAGAAUAUACACCCUGAGAAUGUAACCGUAAUCGCUUCUAUAUGUAAAAUAUUAUAUAUAGGGUGUUCCGGAACAAAACAUGUUUAUGAGACAAAGUUUAUGACACGGACGUGACGAAAGGCUAUUUUUGAGAUUGAGACUUUUUCAACAUUUGGCGACCAUUCGAUGUUCAACCGUCCGUUUCGUCUUUCUCAAUAGUCGUGACGUGUCAUAAACUUGGCACUUCCGAAGGGUAUCCUGAAAUCGUACCAGCAUUCGAGGCUACCGAUGGUUAACCUGGAAGAAGCUCGCAACCUUGCCAAGGUCUUCGAAGAUUUUACGUCCAUGCAGGUAUCGCUCCCACCCUUACCGAGAUUAUUAUAAUAAAUAUGCGACCAAGGGACAUCAGGGGACAUAACUAGCUUCUCGGAUGGAGAAUGAGAAAUGAGAAAAAAUGAGAAAUCGAGGAAACGAGAAAAUGAGAAAAUGAAGAAACGAAAACUUACCAGGAGGUGUAGAUAUAGCGAUAAAGGAGAAAAUUCCGCAGAGGAACAUCGAGGCGAAGCCCAUCCAUCGUCUGCCCCAUCUGUCCAAAAAGAGGGCGAGCAGAAUGGCGGCGGGAAGUUCCGUCAGGGAGGCCAAAGAAAAGGAUGUGAAUACGUCUGGGUCGAGAAGUUUCAUGUUCCAGACAUGGCCGUCGAACACCCACACCAUCAAAAGCCUGGAAACAACGAACAAAUCACGUGGCCGAUCAAUCGCUAAGUUUUAGCUUCUUGCUGCUCUUUUAGCGGAUGGCGCAGCAGCCUGGAUACUUAACACACGCGGCACUAUAUUUCGUAUGAACAACAUGUAGAGGAAAUAGAUUGAUUAACCCUUUGUACUCGGAGACACUUUAACAAUAAAUCUGAAAUUAAUUUUCUGA